UACGGGGGGGGCAAGCGUUGUUCGGAAUUACUGGGCGUAAAGGGCUCGUAGGCGGCCAACUAAGUCAGACGUGAAAUCCCUCGGCUUAACCGGGGAACUGCAUCUGAUACUGGAUGGCUUGAGUUCGGGAGAGGGAUGCGGAAUUCCAGGUGUAGCGGUGAAAUGCGUAGAUAUCAGGAGGAACACCUGCGGUGUAGACGGCUUUCUGGACCAUUGCUGACGCUGAGACACGAAAGCGUGGGUAGCAAACAGG
rnacentral:rRNA from 1 species